GACGAACGCUGGCGGCGUGCUUAACACAUGCAGGUCGAACGAAGAGCGAUGGAAGCUUGCUUCUAUCAAUCUUAGUGGCGAACGGGUGAGUAACGCGUAAUCAACCUGCCCUUCAGAGGGGGACAACAGUUGGAAACGACUGCUAAUACCGCAUACGAUCUAAUCUCGGCAUCGAGGAUAGAUGAAAGGUGGCCUCUACAUGUAAGCUAUCACUGAAGGAGGGGAUUGCGUCUGAUUAGCUAGUUGGAGGGGUAACGGCCCACCAAGGCGAUGAUCAGUGGCCGGUCUGAGAGGAUGAACGGCCACAUUGGGACUGAGACACGGCCCAGACUCCUACGGGAGGCAGCAGUGGGGAAUCUUCCGCAAUGGACGAAAGUCUGACGGAGCAACGCCGCGUGAGUGAUGACGGCCUUCGGGUUGUAAAGCUCUGUUAAUCGGGACGAAGGGCCUUCUUGCGAAUAGUGAGAAGGAUUGACGGUACCGGAAUAGAAAGCCACGGCUAACUACGUG
rnacentral:rRNA from 1 species